GACGAACGCUGGCGGCGUGCUUAACACAUGCAAGUCGAACGGAAAGGCCCUGCUUUUGUGGGGUGCUCGAGUGGCGAACGGGUGAGUAACACGUGAGUAACCUGCCCUUGACUUUCGGAUAACUUCAGGAAACUGGGGCUAAUACCGGAUAGGAGCUCUUGCUGCAUGGUGGGGGUUGGAAAGUUUCGGCGGUUGGGGAUGGACUCGCGGCUUAUCAGCUUGUUGGUGGGGUAGUGGCUUACCAAGGCUUUGACGGGUAGCCGGCCUGAGAGGGUGACCGGCCACAUUGGGACUGAGAUACGGCCCAGACUCCUACGGGAGGCAGCAGUGGGGAAUAUUGCACAAUGGGCGGGAGCCUGAUGCAGCAGCGCCGCGUGCGGGAUGACGGCCUUCGGGUUGUAAACCGCUUUCGCCUGUGACGAAGCGUGAGUGACGGUAAUGGGUAAAGAAGCACCGGCUAACUACGUG
rnacentral:rRNA from 1 species